rnacentral:tRNA from 1 species
ACGUCGCCAAGUGGUAAGGCACGGGGUUUUGAUCCCCGCAUUCGCAGGUUCGACUCGAGCGCGUA